AUUGUGAGGUAUUUUAUGUAAACUUCUUUCGAAUUUGUGCAGCCUCCGAGUCCCGCACUCACAAUUCCAUUCUUCCAUCCUUGCGACUUUACCCGAAAACUCCUAAACUUGCAGCGAUCUUCUCGUUUUUCAAUCAAUCCUUAGGGUUUCGAAGCGAUGGCAGAGCAUUUGGCAUCAAUUUUCGGGACGGAAAAGGAUCGUGUGAAUUGCCCCUUUUACUUUAAGAUCGGGGCCUGCCGGCAUGGGGAUCGGUGUUCUAGGCUACACACCCGGCCGAGCAUCAGCCCAACACUACUCCUUUCUAACAUGUACCAGCGUCCCGACAUGAUUACCACAGGCGUCGAUCCGCAGGCCCAAGCGAUGGAUCCUCGCAAGAUCCAGGAGCACUUUGAGAAUUUCUACGAGGAUCUAUUUGAAGAGCUGAGUAAAUAUGGUGUACUUGAGAGCCUGAAUGUAUGUGACAAUCUCGCUGAUCAUAUGGUAGGUAAUGUUUAUGUGCAGUUUAGAGAGGAAGAGCACGCUGCUAAUGCAGUUCGUAAUCUGACUGGCAGGUUUUAUGCAGGUCGUCCAAUUAUUGUUGAUUUCUCUCCAGUUACUGAUUUCCGUGAGGCUACCUGUAGGCAGUACGAAGAGAACACUUGUAACAGGGGUGGUUACUGCAACUUCAUGCAUUUGAAGAAGAUUAGCAGGGAAUUAAGGCGACAGUUGUUUGGGAGAUCUCAUCGGAGGCAUAGCAGAAGUCGUAGCAGGAGUCAUAGUCCUCAUAGACACCGGAGCUAUGAAGAUCGCAGAAGGCACCCAUAUGAUGAUAGGGAUCGGCAACAUGAUGAUCGAGGGAGGCGACCUAGGAGCAGAAGCCCUGCUCAUAGGAGAGGACGCAGUAGGAGCCCGGGGGGGAGAAAGAAUAGGAGCCCGGUUAGGGAAGGAAGUGCUGAAAGGAGGGCAAAAAUUGAGCAAUGGAACAGGGAAAGGGAGCAGGCAGAACAGGCUAACAAGGCCAACAAUGCCUACAUCCAUGGCAGCAAUGGAUCCCGUCAUAAUGGUGGGAACAAUAAUGGGCAGCCAUAUGAAAAUCAUGAUGAUUAUUACUGAAGCAUGUGUUUUUCAGGUGGUGUGCAGGUGUAAGGUGGCACGAAGUUCCUAUAUGAGGAAGAGGAAGAAUUACGAUCGUGAAGUAGAGAGCUGAAGCCUAUUGAAACUCUAAUAUGUGAGUUAAGGUUUUUUGGGCAUAUGCAGAAUGGCUUGAGCAGGAGCGGCAGCCAAUGCAGAGCUAUCAUUUAAGGUUUGCUUUUUCUGAUCAAAUUAGUCUGUGAUAUGCUGCUGCCCGGGUUUAAGAACUAAGGAUUUGCACCGACAGCUUGUGUUAGUUUUCCAUUGAAUCUGGACUAAUUGUCUUAUCUGAACUAGUUUAGUAUUUGGGAGAGUUAUAUGUUUGCUUAGUUUUGUGUCUUUAAACUUUUACAUCAACUAUCUUUUAACUUUUAAUUCAAACUGCUCAUAUGAUGGCGUGUUUGUAGAGAACUUUGUUUCUUAAUUUAAUCAUUACUUU